rnacentral:RNase_P_RNA from 1 species
ACUACAAACCGCGCUAUCGUGUAGUCCGCAAGGAUUGCAAGGAAAGUCCGGACAGCAAAGGGCAAUGCACCACCUAACGGGUGGGGGGCGCCGCCAGGCGUUUACAGAGAGUGCCACAGAAAAUGACCGCCCCGGAGCGAUCCGGGGUAAGGGUGAAAAUGUGGGGUAAGAGCCCACGGUGGUGGCGGGUAACCGUUACUGCGGGUAAACCUUGCAUGCUGAAAUGCCAUGUAUACGGUCUAUUAAGGGCGGCUCGUCCAAUGACCGAGGGUAGGCAGAUACAGGCGCCAGGUGACUGGCGUCGCAGAUAAAUGAUAGCGGCCACGUGCAAACGGGGUACAGAAUCCGGCUUACAGGUUUGUAGUUAUU